UUUCAGAACCAGCCGCCGUAGCCGCACUCUCCCCGUUAGGGUUCCACCGUGUUGAUAGUCCGCCUCCCGUUUGGCCAUUCCUAGCUCACCUUCGAGUUCGCUCCUAGAAGCAGUUCGUCCUCCACAGUUUGGGUGUCGAGGUUUUCAGCUAGCUUGUCCAGUUGGGCGAGGUUCUCAUGGUCAACAAGCGAAUGGUG